ACGGAGGGUGCAAGCGUUGUCCGGAAUCAUUGGGCGUAAAGAGUUCGUAGGCGGCAUGUAAAGUCAGGUGUUAAAGGCUGAGGCUCAACCUCAGUAUGGCACUUGAUACUUGCAAGCUAGAAUGCGGUAGAGGUAAAGGGAAUUCCUGGUGUAGCGGUGAAAUGCUUAGAUAUCAGGAGGAACAUCGGUGGCGUAAGCGCUUUACUGGGCCGUAAUUGACGCUGAGGAACGAAAGCCAGGGUAGCAAAUGG
rnacentral:rRNA from 1 species